UCACAAACUAGUUCAUGGCCAGAGCACUCAGCACCUUGUGUAAUUGAAUCUUAAGUCUAUGUGUCCUUAUAUGCAGAGCAGGGUGUCUGCACUAAGAAGGAUGCAUUGCUAAUGUGCAUUAUGUGUCUGACUUUACCAUACUGAAAUUACUGUCAAAGAUCUUGUUCUUUACAGUAGGGUGGGCUUGGAUCUAACAUAGCCUUGAGCAUCUCUUCAUUACCAGGAGAUAUUUGCAAGAUGCAGUAUACUUCAGAAGAUGAUUCAGAGUCACCAAGUAAGCCUACGUAUCUGUCCUCAGUGGACUGUAUUUUAAAGAGGUUUGCAUGAAAUUGAAUCCAAGCUGAAGUACUGAGACCCUUGUAUUACUGGGCAAUUGUCUAAGACUCGGGACGGUACAGUCGACUUUUUGGCAAAAUACUGCAUCUUCAGCCAGGAGAAGUUGGCGAAGUACAAAAGGGCUUUUGAAGCGGUAAGUGUAAAUUCAGACUUCUUUUCUUUUCUUUCUUCCUUUUUUUUUCCUCUCCCUCUCCCCUCUCCUCCUGUGUCUGUAGACAGUUAAGCAGAAAUAAUAAGCACCAUUGCUUGCAGUACACGUCCCAUGAAUUACGCUGACAUCAAAUGUAACUUUAGAAUGGAGGCACGCUUUAUUCUUUUUGACGAACUGUUCCCCUAUCCAUUCUUUAUUUACAUGUCGUGAGCCUAAGCGCUGCACAGCCAGUCAGAACACAUACACAAGAGGGGGGAGAAAAAAGGAGGCCAUUAAACAAAUUAAAAGGGAUGGGGAUGACUAAUACAGUACUCUUGGAAUCUGCAAUUUGAUUAGUCUGAGUUUAAUACACAAAAGCAGCGCCGAAGCAGGAGGGGAGUCGAAGUGCUCUUUAAUAACCUUCUACAAUUAAAUUAUGGUGAUGAAUUUAACUAUUCUGUGCUUCUAAAGGGGUCUUAUUAUCUGAUUGACUCUGAAAGAAAGUCAGUAUUUAACCAGGGUUCUUGAGUCCAGCUAUUGGAAGACAUACAGUAGUUUUAUGCAUUAACAACUAUUUUUUUUGUUGUUGCGUGCCUCUUCCCAUUUGAAUUCAUCUGUGAUUUGAGAAAGAUGGCUCUUAUGGUUAUUCCCAUUGCUUUUGAUGGGAGUGUGUGCUAGCCCUUUUACUGUACUGCCCAGAGAGUUAAAAUGAAAAUUGCAUGGUUGGGUUUGUCUCCUGUUCUGUAUUUUCAUUUGUAAUUUGUAAUUUUCAUUUAUAAUUUUAGACUGCUUCCCUCUGCUGGCCCUCUCCAUUGUCUAACAAUGCAUCAUUCAAAUGUAGACAGUGGGUAAUGCAUGCUGGGAUCUUUGAAAAGGACUUUUACCAUUAAAUGGCAGUAACAUCAUUCCACAGUUUAUACUGACUUUUGGUUUUCUCUGUGUCCUUCCCUUUCCAUGAUUUUACAUAUGCCAAAGGCUGAGUAAGAUG
rnacentral:lncRNA from 1 species